rnacentral:rRNA from 1 species
UACGAAGGGGGCUAGCGUUGUUCGGAAUUACUGGGCGUAAAGCGCACGUAGGCGGAUCGAUCAGUCAGGGGUGAAAUCCCAGGGCUCAACCCUGGAACUGCCUUUGAUACUGUCGAUCUGGAGUAUGGAAGAGGUGAGUGGAAUUCCGAGUGUAGAGGUGAAAUUCGUAGACAUUCGGAGGAACACCAGUGGCGAAGGCGGCUCACUGGUCCAUUACUGACGCUGAGGUGCGAAAGCGUGGGGAGCAAACAGG